rnacentral:rRNA from 1 species
GUGGAUUGCACCAGAAGUAGCUAGCUUAACCUUCGGGAGGGCGGUUACCACGGUGUGGUUCAUGACUGGGGUGAAGUCGUAACAAGGUAGCYGUAGGUGAACCUGCAGAAGGAUCA